rnacentral:rRNA from 1 species
AAUUUAAGCAUAUAAUUAAGCGGAGGAAAAGAAACUAACUAGGAUUCCCUCAGUAACGGCGAGUGAAGCGGGACUAGCUCAGGAUGUGAAUCUGCGCUUUUAUGGCGCCGAAUUGUGGUCUGUAGACCUUGACGUUAUUUGCCGGGCCAAGUUCCUUGGAAAAGGACAGCUGAGAGGGUGAGACUCCCGUCCGCCUGGUAGAGUGAGUCAUGUGUCAACGAGUCGAGUUGUUUGGGAUUGCAGCUCUAAUUUGGUGGUAAAUUCCAUCUAAAGCUAAAUAUUGGUGGGAGACCGAUAGCGUACAAGUACCGUGAGGGAAAGAUGCAAAGAACUUUGAAAAGAGAGUUAAAGAGUACCUGAAAUUGCUGAAACGGAAGCGAAGGAAACCAGUGUUUGUUGGUUCAUAUUUCCCUAGCCACUUGUGGUUUGGGCGCUGUGAGCUUGCGUGAGUUUGGGUUGGUUGAUCCCUUUGGAAGAGCGCAGACAGAGUUGAUGUUUGUUGCUAGCACUGGGUUUGACUGAUGCAGACGAAAUGGUUUUCUUUACCCCGUCUUGAAACACGGACCAAGGAGUCUAACAUAUGUGCGAGUACAGGGGUGUCAAACCUCCGUGCGUAAUGAAAGUGACAGUGGUUGGAUUAAUUUGCACAAUCCGCCGGCCUCAAUCCUUCGGGAGAACGGUCUGAGUGUGAGCAUACAUGUUGGGACCCGAAAGAUGGUGAACUAUGCCUGAAUAGGGUGAAGCCAGGGGAAACUCUGGUGGAGGCUCGUAGCGAUUCUGACGUGCAAAUCGAUCGUCAAAUUUGGGUAUAGGGGCGAAAGACUAAUC